GACGAACGCUGGCGGCGUGCCUAAUACAUGCAAGUCGAGCGAGCGGAACUAACAGAUUUACUUCGGUAAUGACGUUAGGAAAGCGAGCGGCGGACGGGUGAGUAACACGUGGGGAACCUGCCCCAUAGUCUGGGAUACCACUUGGAAACAGGUGCUAAUACCGGAUAAGAAAGCAGAUCGCAUGAUCAGCUUUUAAAAGGCGGCGUAAGCUGUCGCUAUGGGAUGGCCCCGCGGUGCAUUAGCUAGUUGGUAAGGUAAAGGCUUACCAAGGCGAUGAUGCAUAGCCGAGUUGAGAGACUGAUCGGCCACAUUGGGACUGAGACACGGCCCAAACUCCUACGGGAGGCAGCAGUAGGGAAUCUUCCACAAUGGACGCAAGUCUGAUGGAGCAACGCCGCGUGAGUGAAGAAGGUUUUCGGAUCGUAAAGCUCUGUUGUUGGUGAAGAAGGAUAGAGGUAGUAACUGGCCUUUAUUUGACGGUAAUCAACCAGAAAGUCACGGCUAACUACGUGCCAGCAGCCGCGGUAAUACGUAGGUGGCAAGCGUUGUCCGGAUUUAUUGGGCGUAAAGCGAGCGCAGGCGGAAGAAUAAGUCUGAUGUGAAAGCCCUCGGCUUAACCGAGGAACUGCAUCGGAAACUGUUUUUCUUGAGUGCAGAAGAGGAGAGUGGAACUCCAUGUGUAGCGGUGGAAUGCGUAGAUAUAUGGAAGAACACCAGUGGCGAAGGCGGCUCUCUGGUCUGCAACUGACGCUGAGGCUCGAAAGCAUGGGUAGCGAACAGGAUUAGAUACCCUGGUAGUCCAUGCCGUAAACGAUGAGUGCUAAGUGUUGGGAGGUUUCCGCCUCUCAGUGCUGCAGCUAACGCAUUAAGCACUCCGCCUGGGGAGUACGACCGCAAGGUUGAAACUCAAAGGAAUUGACGGGGGCCCGCACAAGCGGUGGAGCAUGUGGUUUAAUUCGAAGCAACGCGAAGAACCUUACCAGGUCUUGACAUCUAGUGCCAUUUGUAGAGAUACAAAGUUCCCUUCGGGGACGCUAAGACAGGUGGUGCAUGGCUGUCGUCAGCUCGUGUCGUGAGAUGUUGGGUUAAGUCCCGCAACGAGCGCAACCCUUGUUAUUAGUUGCCAGCAUUAAGUUGGGCACUCUAAUGAGACUGCCGGUGACAAACCGGAGGAAGGUGGGGAUGACGUCAAGUCAUCAUGCCCCUUAUGACCUGGGCUACACACGUGCUACAAUGGGCAGUACAACGAGAAGCGAGCCUGCGAAGGCAAGCGAAUCUCUGAAAGCUGUUUUCAGUUCGGACUGCAGUCUGCAACUCGACUGCACGAAGCUGGAAUCGCUAGUAAUCGCGGAUCAGCACGCCGCGGUGAAUACGUUCCCGGGCCU
rnacentral:rRNA from 1 species